GUGGGCUUGACCGAGCUUGCAUUCAGCUGGUGACUUAUCAUCCGGUUAGUCGUUAAUUUAAAAGGACACAAGUAGCAAUCUAUAAUUGUAGUAAGUUGUCUUCUGCGUACUAAUUAUUACUGCUGGUAAAAUACUAUUAAAAUGACGUUAGGCACUUGCGCCAAA